rnacentral:lncRNA from 1 species
AAAAGCUGCCUAGGAAAUGUGGGAGUAACCAUUCUCUGGAGAGUUGUGGGUUGAUUGGUUUGGGUUUUUUGUUUGUUUGUUUGUUUGUUUUUUAAUUUGUUUGUUCCUGAGUUGUGGGUUGAUUGGUUUGGGUUUUUUGUUUGUUUGUUUAUUUUUUAAUUUGUUCCUUUUUAUAAUUUUUAGAAAUAGAAGUCCUGCUGGGUAUGGUGGUGGAUGCCAGUAAACUCCCAGCAUUUGGGAAGUGGAGGCAGGAAGAUCCAGAGUUCAAGGCCAUCCUCUGCUCCACAGUGAGUUGGAGGUCAGCCUGGGAUACAUGAGGAAAAGAGAAAGAGAAGCAUGUGCAGGGUUUAUUAGCGUGUAUUACAUUAGUAUGAUAGUAUUGGAUAUCCAGGGAGGUUUAUUAGCGUGUAUUACAUUAGUAUGAUAGUAUUGGAUAUCCAGGGACCCAGGAAUAGACCCUCAUAGGAUAGUAAUCACUCUUCACUCAAGUAGGUGUUAGUGCCUAGGAGAAUCUGCUUCUAAGAAGAUUUAAGAAACAAAGAGGAAAACUUGAAAAUGUAAUGCAUAUAAAGUAGCACAGUGUACAGGAAAGGACAUUCCUGCUGCAGAAAACAAAAGCCAUAAUGAACUAAUAAUAUGGUUAAGAGGUGGAAUUUUGUAGCAAUAAUAGUUCCGUAUAUAUGGUGAAUUGUGCUCACAAAGCUGUGUGGUUGAGUGGUUGGUUACUGGUUGGGUUUGUGGGGCCCUACAGUUCUAUAGAGCUUUGCAAAAGGAAAAACACAUCCUAAUUAAAAGGCAUUUAAACUAUGAAUGUAUGUGAAUAUAUCUGUGAAAAAAGUAUCAACUUUCAUAUAUGUGUUAAAGAUCCUAUUUUGUUUCUCCAGAGUUUACAGCUGUUGAAAUCUUUCUAGUGCUUAAUCUGGAAUCCCAGUGAAGCCAACCUGUAGGGGUCUUGCUUAAAUUGUUUGUAUUGAUAGUCAUUUACUAUAUAGAAUGUUCUAUGCUUUAUUCAAAUAAUAUAACCUUUAUUCAUUGGGUUUCUGGCUACUGUUUCAAAAGGAAAAGUUUGUUUUAUAUGUGAUUGGUGUGCCUCAGGGGCAGGGAGCCACAAGAACUUACUGUUUUUUCCUUGUACUUAAGCUCAAGGAUUAAAGGUGAACAAAAUGACUGGCAGUGCCCAGGCAGGGGGUUUCUGAGCAUCUGGUAAAUGUGUGUGAUAAGCUCAUGGCCAGUGUGCAUAUUCUUUCAACAAGAAUCCAGCAGACUCCUUCCUUCCUUAUCUGAGAUGUAAAAUGGAACUAGGACCACUUCUCUCUUCCUCCUUUACCUCAUGUCCAUUGUGGCCACUUAGCCCCUUCAACAUCCCUGGAAAGAUCUGGGUCUGUGUCCCUUUGUUUUCCCAGGGGAAGAAAAGUGAAAGAGUAGUUUUAUAGAUCUAAGACUCUUAUUUUAUUAUAAGCCUAAGGAUAGGGAAAAGGCUGAUUGAAGUGUAGUUUCUCUCUAGAUGAACUGUGCUGUCCAUGUUAGCUUUUGGGACAACCAAGCAAUAUUCAGAACACCUGCAUGAUCAUGGAGAUGUGACUAAUCCAUCAGAGAUUCCUUUAACAGCCAUUUUAUGGUUCUAAAUGCAAAAAUAUGCUACAAGAUUUUGUGGUCUCAAAAUAUGUGGUUAAUUAGUAUUCAGUCUUACUGUAGUCUCUUGUUUACUCUUUAUGUACCUGUGAUAUGCAAAAUAUGAAAAGACGCCCUAGCCUUCAGGAGUUUACAUUCUCAUGGUGCUGUAGGUGCAAGCAUACCGUCUCUAGUUUAUUCAGAACAUUGCUUGGCUAUGAAUUAUACCAUUUUGGAAGAACCCCUUGGCCAAGAGUUUUAAAAUGCAGAGGGCUGUGUUGAAUUUCAGGGCAUUACUGCUUGUGUUUACACUGUUUUAGCUCUGCUCCUCAACCCUCCAGAGAGCUGUUCAUUAAUACAAAUCAGAAAAGAAACCAUUCUGCCCAAGUACCCUCACCACCCUCCAGCUCUCAGUAAGUGGCCAAGAAAACUUAUUCCAUAAAGACUAUCACCUCAGUUCCUUUUUCCCAGGGCUUUACACUUAUUUACCUUCCAAGGGCCAGGAUUUCUAGCUAAGCCUUUUAGAACCAAACAGAAGUCUUAAGUUUAGCUUUUUCAUGUAUGACUUGUUUUGAAGCAGCAUCAUAGUAGAUAACAGCGUAUCUGAUUGCAUCUCUGAGGAAUUUGACUGACAUAUUUAGUUGAAGCUUUGCAUGUAUCAUUGCUUUAUCCCAAGAUUCUGAAUCAAAGGGUUUGCAUGUUUAUUAAAACCAGGCCUGAUUGAAAGUGUAAGCAAUAGUGGCAGGCCCAUAACUGAUUCUAGAAUGCUAACAUUCUAAUGCAUGGUUGAAAUUUUUCAUUGUUAGGUAGUUACUAGUAAUUUUAUAUAUGCAUUUAUCAAUAAUGAAGCAAUAGAUACUUAAACCAAUAGCUUGGUUUUAUUGUUUGAAUUAUUUUUAUUUUUUAAUUAAAGAUUAUCUUGCUUCCAUUGAAAAUUGGAAGUACAAGAUAAACAAGGGGCAACCACAAGACAUUCAAACUGUAAGGAAUACAACAAGCAGUGCUCACUCUGUUUCCUAGCUCUAUUUAUUCCCAAGCAUGUUUGCAAAUAAAAGAUAGACUAAGCAUGUUGAACAAACAGUUGUAAUCAGGAUGGUGCAGGGUUUCAGAAGAGUGGGAAAACAGGCUAAGUGGAGUCAUCAUCCUUCAGAAAUAACAGUGUUCUGUGCAAAGUAACUAGCUGAGGGACUUGUCUGAUUAGGUUUAUAUAGACUAAGUUUAGGGUUUCUUAAAUCUAUAGAUUGAGCCAGAUUCAUGGUCUGCAGUCCCUGAGCAGGCAGGAACUGGCCUGAGCGCCAUAGGCAGACUCCAGCAUCAGUGUGUACAUACUGCCAUUCAGUAAUGAGGCAUCUGUUCUGGAAGGUGCUGGCUGACCAUCUACAAAAUCCCCACACAAGGUUUUGUAGAGCUGCAGUUUGGCUUCUCAGAUAGUGCCUGUGGCUGGAUCUGCAACUGUAGAACUGGAGUUUUCUUUACAUGAGUUGAUCAAAAUGUGUAACUUGCCUGAAACUUGAUUCCUGAUGAAUAGGAAUUUUCUUCUUCCGAAAAAGACAUUUAUUUGGGUGAAUGAACAUUGGUUUGUUACAGUAGUGAAAGAACAGAAGUGUACCUACUGGCAGAACAUUUACCUGAAAAAUGGGUUCAGUUGCCAGCACUACAAAAAAAACUAAUGCUGGUAGUGUAAGAAUUUCUUGACUUUGAAAUGCAAGUUACAAAUGGUUUUGACAAAUGAUGAGAAGUAUUUAUAAUUUCUGAAAGACCUAAAUAGAUUUCAAGUAGAACUGAUUCACUGGGUUCAGUCCAAUUUACAUGUUAUAUGACAGAAAAAUAGUUUCAAAUUUAACUUUAGCUGUGGUACUUUGCUAUGGAUGUUGACUAGAAUGGAAACUCUCAACCUUCAGAACUGAAUUUCUGAGUUGUCAGUGUGAUGUUUGCUUUCCACUGAAACACAGGAAUUGAGGUGUAUGACGUAUCCCAAAUAGAAGAGUUCUUUGCCACUUACUGAUCCCUCUGCCGGCCAAUAAAGAUGGAAGGCCAGAGUUCUUCCUUCUACUGCCCUCUUCCUAAUAGUCACUGAAGUCAAGAUAUCAUUCAGCAAUAUGAUUACUGCUGAUUUUCCAAACAUUUUGACAUCUUUGGGAAUGGUGUGCUGUAUCCUUAAUUUAAAUGUUCUUUUGUGCUUAGGACAUAGCUCUUGAAGAACACUUGGACUCUGGGGCCAGUCCUCAUCACUGACACCCUAUCUCAAGGAUCAGACAAGUAUUCUGUUAGGGUGUUAUCAGUUCGUAAACAACAUUACUAGUCCGGGCAUUAACCUUACUUAAACUUAAGCAUCCUUUUAAUGAGAAAGAUUAAGAACAGUAAUCUACUUGAGAGUGCUGCGUUUUCUGCCCUUCAAGCAUAGGUGUCACUGUUCACUUGCCCUUGUAUUCUAUUGGGCCACCAGUGUAUGAGGUGAUGUUGAAGAGCUUCACUGAAUGUUUGAAGCACUACAAACGGCAGCUUCUUAAUCUAUGCAUCUUUGGGAGUUGUGAAGAAAUUUGUGUUCUUGGAAAAGGAACUGUUUUGAGAGUCUGAAACUGCACCUGUAUGUAUAUAUUGUUAGCAAUAAAGCAUGAGCAGAGAAUGCACUGAAAUUU